rnacentral:rRNA from 1 species
GAUGAACGCUGGCGGCGUGCCUAAUACAUGCAAGUCGAGCGAACAGACGAGGAGCUUGCUCCUCUGACGUUAGCGGCGGACGGGUGAGUAACACGUGGAUAACCUACCUAUAAGACUGGGAUAACUUCGGGAAACCGGAGCUAAUACCGGAUAAUAUAUUGAACCGCAUGGUUCAAUAGUGAAAGACGGUUUUGCUGUCACUUAUAGAUGGAUCCGCGCCGCAUUAGCUAGUUGGUAAGGUCACGGCUUACCAAGGCAACGAUGCGUAGCCGACCUGAGAGGGUGAUCGGCCACACUGGAACUGAGACACGAUCCAGACUCCUACGGGAGGCAGCAGUAGGGAAUCUUCCGCAAUGGGCGAAAGCUUGGCGGAGCAACGCCGCGUGAGUGAUGAAGGUCUUCGGAUCGUAAAACUCUGUUAUUAGGGAAGAACAAAUGUGUAAGUAACUAUGCACGUCUUGACGGUACCUAAUCAGAAAGCCACGGCUAACUACGUG